AUUGAACGCUGGCGGCAUGCUUUACACAUGCAAGUCGAACGGCAGCACGGGAGCUUGCUCCUGGUGGCGAGUGGCGAACGGGUGAGUAAUGCAUCGGAACGUACCCAGUAGUGGGGGAUAGCCCGGCGAAAGCCGGAUUAAUACCGCAUAUUUCCUGAGGGAGAAAGCGGGGGGACCUUCGGGCCUCGCGCUACUGGAGCGGCUGAUGUCGGAUUAGCUAGUUGGUGAGGUAAAGGCUCACCAAGGCGACGAUCCGUAGCUGGUCUGAGAGGAUGAUCAGCCACACUGGGACUGAGACACGGCCCAGACUCCUACGGGAGGCAGCAGUGGGGAAUUUUGGACAAUGGGGGCAACCCUGAUCCAGCCAUGCCGCGUGAGUGAAGAAGGCCUGAGGGUUGUAAAGCACUUUCAAUCGUGAAGAAAAGUCACAGGCUAAUACCCUGUGACCUUGACGUUAACGAUACAAGAAGCACCGGCUAACUCCGUGCC
rnacentral:rRNA from 1 species